AUUGAACGCUGGCGGCAGGCCUAACACAUGCAAGUCGAACGAGUGGCGGACGGGUGAGUAAUGUCUGGGAAACUGCCCGAUGGAGGGGGAUAACUACUGGAAACGGUAGCUAAUACCGCAUACCAUCGGAUGUGCCUAGAUGGGAUUAGCUAGUUGGUGGGGUAACGGCUAACCUAGGCGACGAUCCCUAGCUGGUCUGAGAGGAUGACCGGCCACACGGGAACGGGGACACGGCCAAGACGCCUACGGGAGGCAGCAGUGGGGAAUAUUGCACAAUGGGCGAAAGCCUGAUGAAGCCAUGCCGCGUGUAUGAAGAAGGCCUUCGGGUUGUAAAGUACUUUCAGCGAGGAGGCGUUACCCGCAGAAGAAGCACCGGCUAACUCCGUGCCAGCCGCCGCGGUAAUUC
rnacentral:rRNA from 1 species